rnacentral:rRNA from 1 species
UACGUAGGGGGCUAGCGUUGUCCGGAAUCAUUGGGCGUAAAGAGCGUGUAGGCGGCCCGGUAAGUCCGCUGUGAAAGUCGGGGGCUCAACCCUCGGAUGCCGGUGGAUACUGUCGGGCUCGAGUACGGAAGAGGCGAGUGGAAUUCCUGGUGUAGCGGUGAAAUGCGCAGAUAUCAGGAGGAACACCUGUGGUGUAGACGGCUUACUGGACCAUGACUGACGCUGAGGCACGAAAGCGUGGGGAGCAAACGGG